rnacentral:rRNA from 1 species
UACGGGGGGGGCAAGCGUUGCUCGGAAUUACUGGGCGUAAAGGGCUCGUAGGCGGCCAACUAAGUCCGACGUGAAAUCCCCAGGCUUAACCUGGGAACUGCGUCGGAUACUGGAUGGCUUGAAUUCGGGAGAGGGAUGCAGAAUUCCAGGUGUAGCGGUGAAAUGCGUAGAUAUCUGGAGGAAUACCGGUGGCGAAGGCGGCAUCCUGGACCGACAUUGACGCUGAUGAGCGAAAGCUAGGGGAGCAAACGGG